GAACGAAGUAAGAGAAACGACGGGGAAAUUGGAACUUUUUAUUACCGCUUCGUUUCCAAUUUUACACGGAAUCGCGUCCGCUCUUCGUGAACAGCACCGGCACCCAUUCAUCGUUCCCUAACGCGAUUCGCGGCAACCGUCGUGCAUCGAUGCCCCGACGUCACCCGAGCGAAAUAAGCCACGACUGGUGAAGAGAGAUUGCCUCGCGAUCAGCUGGCUCGCCGGAUAACCAUUAUACGUUUUCAAGCGAUCAUUUUCGGGCUCUGGAUAAGGAGACGCUUACAGAGAAAUGGAAGUAAGUAUCAUUAUCAGCAAUCUUCGCACUCGCCUCAAAAAGGAACGACAGCAAAGAACAAGAGAAAAAGCUUAUCGAACCCUUAGGAUAUCGAAUAUCCGACCCACUCAUCCCCCUUAUAACGAUUUCUACCACCCUUUCUCAUCGACUGGGUCUAGCCGCGAUCGAGAGUCGCGACUUCCCAGAACCUCUCCUCCUGACGCAUCGUAGAGUCGGCGGGGCUAGCGCGCCACCACGUCUGCGAAGUUUAAUUAUCCCGGGCGCAGGUGAGGGUACCGUGGAUCCACUUACAGCACUGGCCAGGUUACGAUUGAGCAAUUAUACUUCUCCCUAGCUGACUCUUAUACAUACAUACACACUCGUCCACGAGCAAACAUACGAAAUCCAGGCCUUCGAGGAUUUCUCUCUUUCUCUAUCCCCCUUUACGGUUCUAGUAUCUAUAGAAAGGAAAAUCACGAUGCUCGGUGCUAAGCUCAGGAAAUACGAGAGGACGCGGAAGACGGGCUGGAUGCCGUGAGGACCGUUUCUCUCCCCAAGGCCUCCAUCCAACUAAUUCGCUUGAAUUUUGAUUUUCAAUAAGAGACAGAGCGGAGACACGGUCCGGAACAGUUAUGUACGUACACGCGAAUACAGCUGCGUAGAAACGUAGACGAGGAGCGGUUUCGUUUGGGAAGAGAGACAAAGAUAGAGA
rnacentral:misc_RNA from 1 species